GAAGUGCUUAUUGCCCACAUGUGUUUUUCUUUGAAACAAACUUGCUUUGGCGGUGGGCCCAGCCUGCCGCCAGAGGUCUAAACUUACAACCAAUUUUUUAUCAACUUGUCACACCAGAUUAUUACUUAAUAGUCAAAACUUUCAACAACGGAUCUCUUGGUUCUCGCAUCGAUGAAGAACGCAGCGAAAUGCGAUACGUAAUAUGAAUUGCAGAUAUUCGUGAAUCAUCGAAUCUUUGAACGCACAUUGCGCCCUCUGGUAUUCCGGAGGGCAUGCCUGUUUGAGCGUCGUUUCUCCCUCAAACCGCUGGGUUUGGUGUUGAGCAAUACGACUUGGGUUUGCUUGAAAGACGGUAGUGGUAAGGCGGGAUCGCUUUGACAAUGGCUUAGGUCUAACCAAAAACAUUGCUUGCGGCGGUAACGUCUACCACGUAUAUCUUCAAACUUUGACCUCAAAUCAGGUAGGACUACCCGCUGAACUUAAGCAUAUCAUAAGGCGGGAGGAAGUAGGGAUACCCGCUGAACUUAAGCAUAUCAAUA
rnacentral:rRNA from 1 species